rnacentral:rRNA from 1 species
AGAGUUUGUCCUGGCUCAGGAUGAACGCUGGCGGCGUGCUUAACACAUGCAAGUCGAACGAACCUUCGGGUUAGUGGCGGACGGGUGAGUAACGCGUGGGAAUCUGCCCUCAGGAGGGGGAUAACGGCUGGAAACGGCCGCUAAUACCCCAUAUGCCGAGAGGUGAAAUGAAUUUCGCCUGAGGAUGAGCCCGCGUCUGAUUAGCUUGUUGGUGAGGUAAUGGCUCACCAAGGCUUCGAUCAGUAGCUGGUCUGAGAGGAUGAUCAGCCACACUGGGACUGAGACACGGCCCAGACUCCUACGGGAGGCAGCAGUGGGGAAUUUUCCGCAAUGGGCGAAAGCCUGACGGAGCAACGCCGCGUGAGGGACGAAGGCCUCUGGGCUGUAAACCUCUUUUCUCAAGGAAGAAGAUCUGACGGUACUUGAGGAAUAAGCCACGGCUAAUUCCGUGCCAGCAGCCGCGGUAAUACGGGAGUGGCAAGCGUUAUCCGGAAUUAUUGGGCGUAAAGCGUCCGCAGGCGGCCUUUCAAGUCUGCUGUUAAAGCGUGGAGCUCAACUCCAUCAAGGCAGUGGAAACUGAUUGGCUUGAGUGUGGUAGGGGCAGAGGGAAUUCCCGGUGUAGCGGUGAAAUGCGUAGAUAUCGGGAAGAACACCAGUGGCGAAGGCGCUCUGCUGGGCCAUAACUGACGCUCAUGGACGAAAGCCAGGGGAGCGAAAGGGAUUAGAUACCCCUGUAGUCCUGGCCGUAAACGAUGAACACUAGGUGUCGGGGGGAAUCGACCCCC